GGAGACUCCGCGAGCUAGAGGCUGAGAUUCGGGAAUGGGGAGGAUACUAGAGUCUGAGAAACAGCAGAGUCUCCUACAGGAGAUGGGGGAGUAGAGGCCGAAAGCCGAGUGGACGAGAGGGCUACAGGGAGAGCUAGAGAGCGCCGAGGGAGACAGAGAGGAGAGGCCUCGAGGGUUAAGACUGAUUACUGCACCCCUGGGAGGAGGGAAAGGGACACGAGAAUGUGAAAUGAGGAACUAUGAAAGAGGACCUUCCAAGCACUGAUGGCAGCGUGAGGUUGAGUGGCCCCCCACCACCAAAGAAGGAGCAAAAACCCUCAAUAAAUAGCAUUUGUCCUGGG